rnacentral:rRNA from 1 species
GCUCAGGAUGAACGCUGGCGGCGUGCUUAACACAUGCAAGUCGAACGGGGAUUAUUUUGAAAGAGACUUCGGUUGAAGUCGUUAUAAUCCUAGUGGCGGACGGGUGAGUAACGCGUGGGUAACCUGCCUCACACUGGGGGAUAACAGUCAGAAAUGACUGCUAAUACCGCAUAAGCGCACGGGAUUGCAUGAUCCAGUGUGAAAAACUCCGGUGGUGUGAGAUGGACCCGCGUUGGAUUAGCCAGUUGGCAGGGUAACGGCCUACCAAAGCGACGAUCCAUAGCCGGCCUGAGAGGGUGGACGGCCACAUUGGGAUCUGAGACACGGCCCAGACUCCUACGGGAGGCAGCAGUA